rnacentral:sRNA from 1 species
AUGUCCGCUAAAUCCGGUUGCUAAGAGCAGACCUGGUCGCUCAUAGACAUGACCCAUAACCGGAACAACGUCCGGAAGCGCGUCAAUGAC